rnacentral:lncRNA from 1 species
AGAAUUAGUGCAUAGCGGACGACAGUCUCCUGAACUGUGAACUCCGAAUCACUAAAGAUAACCUGUUAGUUUUGCAUAAAAGAAGAAAAAUAUCCCAAACUCAACAUGCCCAAGAGAAAGGGAACUGAUGGAGAAGUCAAGGAGGAGCCUCAGAGAAGGUCUGCUAGACUAUCAGCGAAACCAACACCUCCAAAACCUGAACCCAAACCAAAAAAAACUCCCAAGAAAGAGAAGGAAGUGAACGAUAAAAAGGAAGACAAGAAGGCAAAGGCAAAGGCUGAGGAGUCCAA